UAUAUACCGUCCACGGGAUAUCAGAUAUCUAAAUCCACCCCUGUCAAGCCUUGAAGGUGGACGUUGAAGACUAGUAGCAACUAUUAUUAAAAGCUCUUCAACGGUUGAGGAUGGCAUUCUUGUCAAAUUAAAAAACAAGUGUGAAAGCUGAUGUUUUUUUAACAUUGUGUUGAAAUCACCAAGAUUUUAACGUACAUAAAGCAUUGUAUGUACG